rnacentral:tRNA from 1 species
GGGGUUGUGGCUCAGGGGUAGAGCGCUCACCUAGCAUGUGUGAGGCCCUGGGUUUGAUUCUCAACACCACA